rnacentral:rRNA from 1 species
CUCUGUGACUCCUACGGGAGGCAGCAGUGGGGAAUAUUGCACAAUGGGGGAAACCCUGAUGCAGCCAUGCCGCGUGUGUGAAGAAGGCCUUCGGGUUGUAAAGCACUUUCAGUAGGGAGGAAGGUAGUGUAGUUAACACCUGCACUAUUUGACGUUACCUACAGAAGAAGCACCGGCUAACUCCGUGCCAGCAGCCGCGGUAAUACGGAGGGUGCGAGCGUUAAUCGGAAUUACUGGGCGUAAAGCGCAUGCAGGCGGCCUGUUAAGUCAGAUGUGAAAGCCCGGGGCUUAACCUCGGAAUUGCAUUUGAAACUGGCAGGCUAGAGUCUUGUAGAGGGGGUAGAAUUUCAGGUGUAGCGGUGAAAUGCGUAGAGAUCUGAAGGAAUACCAGUGGCGAAGGCGGCCCCCUGGACAAAGACUGACGCUCAGAUGCGAAAGCGUGGGGAGCAAACAGGAUUAGAUACCCUGGUAG